GACGAACGCUGGCGGCGUGCUUAACACAUGCAAGUCGAACGGAAAGGCCCUGCUUGCAGGGUACUCGAGUGGCGAACGGGUGAGUAACACGUGGGUGAUCUGCCCUGCACUUCGGGAUAAGCCUGGGAAACUGGGUCUAAUACCGGAUAGGAGCCAUUUUUAGUGUGAUGGUUGGAAAGUUUUUUCGGUGUAGGAUGAGCUCGCGGCCUAUCAGCUUGUUGGUGGGGUAAUGGCCUACCAAGGCGGCGACGGGUAGCCGGCCUGAGAGGGUGGACGGCCGCAUUGGGACUGAGAUACGGCCCAGACUCCUACGGGGGGCAGCAGUGGGGAAUAUUGCACAAUGGGCGCAAGCCUGAUGCAGCGACGCCGCGUGGGGGAUGACGGCCUUCGGGUUGUAAACGCCUUUCGCUAGGGACGAAGCUUUUUGUGACGGUACCUAGAUAAGAAGCACCGGCUAACUACGUG
rnacentral:rRNA from 1 species